GUGAGGAAUAUUGCGCAAUGGAGGCAACUCUGACGCAGCCAUGCCGCGUGCAGGAAGAAGGCGCUACGCGUUGUAAACUGCUUUUAACCGGGAAGAAACCCCAGGACGUGUCCUGGGUUGACGGUACCGGAGGAAUAAGCACCGGCUAACUUCGUGCCAGCAGCCGCGGUAAUACGAAGGGUGCAAGCGUUAUCCGGAUUCAUUGGGUUUAAAGGGUGCGUAGGCGGAGCGUUAAGUCAGUGGUGAAAUCCUGCAGCUUAACUGUAGACUUGCCAUUGAUACUGGCGCUCUUGAGUGCGCUUGAAGUGGGCGGAAUGUGCCGUGUAGCGGUGAAAUGCUUAGAUAUGGCACAGAACACCAAUUGCGAAGGCAGCUCACUAAGGCGAUACUGACGCUGAGGCACGAAAGCAUGGGGAGCAAACAGGAUUAGAUACCCGAGUAGUCC
rnacentral:rRNA from 1 species